UCUACAUCCAAGGAAGGAGAGGAGCAGGAUUUGGACAGAAGAGAUAAGAAGGAACAAACAAACGCUUCCUGGCGAGAAGAAGAAGAGGAGGAGGCAGGAGGAGUUUGCUGGAGGUGUCUCCAGAAGAAAGGCAGCAUCUGCCCAGCUGUGCAGUCCCAGGAUUUAUAUGGAGCCCUUGGCAGCGUUGGAAAUCUUCCCUCAGCUUUGGGGCUCC